UACGUUAGGGGGCGAGAGUUGUCCGGGAUUUACUGGGUGUAAAGGGUGCUUCAGGUGGAUUUGUAAGUCAGAGGUGAAAAUCCCAAAGCUUAACUUUGGAGCUGCCUUUGAUACUGCAAGUCUUGGGUUUGAGAGAGGGCAAUGGAAUAUCUGGUGUAGCAGUGAAAUCGUAGAUAUCAGAUAGAACACCAAUGGCGAAGGCAGUUGCCCUGGCUC
rnacentral:rRNA from 1 species